UAUAUAUAUAUAUAUAUAUCCAGAAAUAGCCUGUUCUUUCAGGUUAAAGUGGCUGUCCAGUAUAGCAUCACCUCUUGGAAAUAAGCCCCAAAAACUUACUUUUCUAGCAAACACUUUGUCUUCAAUAACUAAGCUACUGUUGUCACCAUUAGCAUCUCCUGAACAGUUUACACCACAUACUUGUGCACAUAGGAAAUAAAAUCAUCAAAGCAGAAACUGAACUGCUUGCUGGCUCCUUCUGCCUGCUGAAGAAAAAGGUUUAGACAUCCACAGAAAUACAGUGUGGCCGGUGUGUGGUGACUUGACUCUGUUUUAAGAGACCUCCUGCAGCGACAUCAUCCAGCAUCACAGCUCUAAAGCUUUGGCCUUUCCCUCCUCCGACACGAAGCAGUGCAGUGAUGUGACUAGCAGACACUUCUCAAUGUUUCUUUUCUCUUUAUCUGCUGAAAGCAGAUCUCAUAAGGAGACUGAAAAUCAUGAGGUUUUGAAGUGCUAUUCCUACAACUUUACCAAAGAACCUCAAAUUUGUGAACCAGGCUUUGACGGAUACAUUCUGCAGUCAAUCAGCUAUACUUGUGGAUUUGAGAAGGUUUGAAAAUUUGGCCCAAAAUAAAUGGUCUGUUCUUCUUGUAAUCUUAACUGUGGAGUUAGUGUAAUGAAUCAGCAAAGAAAAUUUAUUUUUCCAGCAGUUUAGCUAUUAAAUAUGACUUUCUGUGAGUCCUUGAGGCUGCCCAGAGCUUCCAACAAGUCAACCUCUGUGCCAUCUUCCCAGCCAUAAAAUUGUUUUCUGCUUCUUUGCCAGGCUGAAUGUUCUAGGAAAAGCCCAACAGACAAAUUACAGAUCGAUGAACAAAACAAUUAUUUUUCCCAAAUAGCCACAUGCCUGAAAGAAAAUCUUUCUUUAAAUAGCAUGGAUGUAUAAUUUGAAUUCAUUCAUAUUUUAUAGUUCCGGAAUAUUUGUUUACCUGAAACCCUGCAGCUUUCAGAACCAUAUUGUAAAGCAAUGAAAAAGACCAGCGGCAUUGGUGGCCUGGGCAUCUUCCUUUCUGAAGUUUCCUGGCUGACAGCAUGAAAAAAAAAAAGAGUCCUCUGUGUUUGAUGAAUGCAAGAACCAGGUUUGUAAGCAUGGAAAGAGCCUUUAGAAACACAAGUGAGGUUUUUAUCCCUGGCCCCAGUGUCAUCCAUCUUGGAAAGCUUUCUGUUUUUAUUAUUUUAAACAGGUCAGCAACAGUAAGAUGGGAAACUAGAUUUCAAAACAGAUGUCUCUGCAGCGCUUCAUCAAAACAUUGUAUGAUUUCAGACGGAAAUUUAAUAUUGGAUGCCUUGCACAUUACCUAACCUGUUGGGGAUAUGAACCCCCAGCCUCUGAAACAGCAGCACCCCUAUUUCAGCAGCCGUGCUGCUUUGUCCCAUGCCAGCUCAUCACACAGAGGCUGGAUGAGGCUCCAAGCACCCUAAUCUAGCUGUAGGUGUCUCUGUUCAUUGCAGGGGAGUUGGGAUAGAUGACUUUUAAAGGCCCCUUCCAACUCAAAUGAUUUCAUGGCUCACCACACACCUCCAGCACCCAGCUCUUGCAGGUUGGGGCUGGGGGUCUCUCCACUUUACUGCUCCCCACAGGGCACAGAUUUUGGUCCCCAACACCAUGGCUAGUCCCUUCACAUCUGGGGUACAGCCCAGUAGCUGUUUUUCUCUCUCCUGUGCCUGUGGAUGGCAGAAGCACACUCUGGCCCCCCAUAGCACUGCAUGCCGACGCUCUGUCUCUAGGAAAGUAAUUUGGGAAGAACAACAAAGACUUCUUCAGAGAACUUCCUUGCAGAGAAGGUUGUGGUUGUCUUGCUAGCUCUCAAAAUUAAAACUACGUUUCAGUCAAAAAUGCCUAUUCAGACUGACAUCAAAGGGAAAAACGUGAGCAGGUCAAGGAGUUUAAUUUCCACGGCACUCGUGAUUCACAUGUAGGGCUCGGUAAUGACUUACUGCCCACUGGCAAAAGAAAACUGUGAAUGAAGAGAGAAGUGAGGCAGACGAAUGGCGCGGUGCCACUUUCAGCCAGCAGUGCAGUGCUGUGGCCCAGCUCUUCAUCUGCAGCAGCCUUGGUGAGGAUGGCAGAGAUGCCCCUGCCCAAGGGUGUCACCCCAGGUGCCCCCCGGUGUGCUGGUGCCUUCACUCCCUGUCACCCUCUAGAGAGCAGGUUCCUUUCAGACACCUCAAGCCAGAAACAUUCGGGCCCUUCUGAAAAGCUGGGUCUCAGGCUGUGCAUCUCAAACCCUGCUCUCAUACCAGCAUUUAAACCUUUAGAUAUCUCCAGUUAAGGUGAAGGACUAUGUCUCAAGGUAUGAAGGCGGGAGGUAUGUAAACCUUUUAACAGUGUCUGUAUGUUCUCCUACUACUCCUUAUUUGCUUUUCUCAUGGGACGAUCCAACAAGGCAUUACAGGCUGUUGAUAAAUAGAUUUUCAGCCCAUUUCGUUUAACCAUUACUGCAUUUCCAUAUCAAAGAUUUUACACUUGGCAUGCCCGAGCCUAUUUUAUUUGUAAUCUUUUCUCAAAUGAGAAGUUUGGAAUGUUUUUUCAUUAUGUGUUUCAUCUGCAGCACACUGCCUUGGUGUUAUUUUUGAGAUGAGAUCUUUUACUCUACCUCGAGUCAUUCUACAACUCGUCGGCUUUUAUUUAUUCUGGCCUCCCAAUCUAACAGAAUUUCUGUGUUGAAACUUGUUGCUAUUUUUUUCCAGGGAUACACCGUACGAUGUUAAGCCUGUGCUGUGUAUCAAAGUGCAAAUAUAAACUAGUUGAUAGUCUCUGGUCACACCCUGGUAGGUGUGGCAGUUGGGAAUUUUUCACUUUCUGGCUGGAGAUCAGAAUGUGCUUAGCAUGGUUCCCCAUCCAGCAUCUUGGUCGGGAGGGGACUGGCUGCCUUCUGCAUGCAUGUUGUUUGAAGGGUUGGGAGCCACAUAGUUGUACCACUUCCAAAAGCAGAUUUUUACUUGUUUGGCUAUAUUUAGAGCUGCAAUCGGGAGAUCUGAGGGUAUGAUAAUCCAGUGCCUCACUGUCUUUCUCCUUCCUCUCGUUCUUUCUCCCUGUCACUUUAGGGGUGAGAGGAUGGACCAGCAUAGCUCUAGUGUCAGCCUCCAGCAUGGUGCAGAACUGCGCUACUCCAAGAGAAACUCCAAGGAGGAAGUGUGACUCAGAGAGCUGCAAUUCCUUCCACGGUUCCUCCUUGCUCCAGCCGGGGAAGUAAGUUACUUCAAUAUUUGUGCUGCUAGAGUACAGCUUGCUUCCGCCCCGCUGCUUGCAAGCCCCAGCUUGCAGAACGCAGAGAGAGAAUGCUCUGAGCCAGAACCUGCAAAAGGUGGCUUGCCUCCUUCUGCUCCUUGGCUGCCCAUGUGAGACAGGGACCAGUCCUGCCCUAGAUGAGGUUUCACUGCAAGGAGUCACCUCAAAGCCAUCUGCCUAAACUGGCCUUCCAGUCAUUCUGCAGAGAUGCACACCGCUGGCUGUCUUGUCAGGCAUCAUUUACAUUAAUAUCACAAACAGCACACUACCUGUGAGACGACUUCACGCUGUCUUUUUCUACCUAGAUUGCCCACUUUUCUGCUCCAUUUUCAUAGUCUUUCGUACAAUUAGACAAUCCCUAUCAGAGUAAUGCACAGCUCACCAGACACUUGCCUCUCAGAUAAUCUAUUUCCCACUGACUUAUUUUCCAUCACAAUUAUUCAUUAUUAUACCCAGAGACUGGCAAAGGAUUUGCAGGUAAUAAUUCCCUUGCCAAAACAAAAACGCUAAUAAGGGUAUUUGUAGGGAAACAUUCAUAAUCAGUGUUUCUUCAUUUGGAGUGCAAUCGUAAGGCCCAAGAACACCAACUGGUAUGUGACUUAUUUGCAAACGAUACAAAGGACUCCUCACCUGCCUCACAUACUGCUUAGCAGCAACACACUUUGGAAAACCAUAUCAAGUUCAUAGCUUUUUUUACACACACACACACACACACACACACACACACACACACCUCUUCAUGCAGAAAUACUGCACUACAAGGAGACCUUUCACUGGGGACACUUUAAAGACAUUCUGAUAUGACAGCCAAAGGUUGUGUUAACUGAGACAGUGUCAAACAAGAGUAGAUGAUGAUGAAUACUUCAGUGAUGCACAGGUCUGAAAACUAAAAAAGGUCAGAAAAACAAGAGAGGACAAAACUCAUCCAUAAGCACAUCAACUAGAUGGUCCAGGUAGGAAUAAAACCACCACGCCUGUUGCUGUACCCUCCAAGGUUACCAGGGAGAGGUUUUCAGGAAGUAUUUUGCAGUUAAAAAAAAAAAGAAGAGUAAGAAUCAACUUGAGAAAAUAGGUCCGUUCCUCACAUGUUCAGCAGCACAGAAAUGCACACUCAUAUACACAAUCAUACUUCCCGCCUGAGUGAUAGCAGUCUCCAAAAUAGCCCCUGAAAGAAGAUUCAGGCUAUUGGACCAGCUGCUGCUUUCAGUGAAGUGGUCUGAACAUAGGUCUGAAUCCCACUCUACGUGGAAUUUUGCAUACAAACAUGUAUAAAGCUCAUCCUUGUGUAAGAAGAUUUGAAUGGCACCAGUGCUAAUUCAGCUGUCCACCUGGCAAGCAUCUAGAGAGACACACACAGAAAGAGAAGCACUACUCAUUUGAGUCUUCACUCCUAGACUGGAAAUAACUGAUGUAAGUGAAGCGUGCAGUGCAAGUGUGCAAAAGUUACUUUCAUUUUGCACCAGUAUAUUCAGGAAUUUUAAAUAAGCUCAGUUAAAAUGAUCAGUUGAACUACUUUGACAGUGUUGUAAGAAAUCCUUAUGUGGCUAAUUCUUAAAUGUCAUCAGACAGCAGACCAAUUGUGCUCAAGCGCACAUUGUUACCCCAGGUAGCAGAUAACUUCCUGUGUUGAAACGAUGGCUUGAGAGUGAUAUACUUGCAGACAAGGAAAUAUCAUCUUCCAGUCCUGCUGUGUCUUAAAGUGAUCUACGAGAACUCUUUCUAGCUCGGUGCCUGUGUUUAGCCAAGGUAUUAGACGCAUUCAGGAUGUAUUAAACUCAUACACCUUCUAAAUUACAUGAUACAUGGAGUUCACACAGCUAGCUAAUUCAGUCAGAUGUGUAGUGCUAACAAUAACCAAAUAUAUCCAAUGUUACUUGUCUAGCUAUGGAAUAAAUAUGCUUGAUGGUGCUUAAUUAUACAGAUAUGUAAUGGGCACCUUCACCGCUUUCUAUAGUUAAAAUCCUGUUCCCAAUGCUUAGUAAUAUGGAACAACACUUUUGAAGUGGAGGAAUACUUUGGAAUAAAAAUCAUUCCUAUUUCACACUUUGGCACUCUGAACACAUAAUCCAAAAAUAGGGGAACGGAACCUUCAGCGGAUCAAAUCACGCACAGAACAGAAGUAUACUGGAAAUAAUUCCAUAAAGUCAACUCCCAGGACAAUGGGAUCGUCCCCAGUAAGUACUGCUUCAGCAACACUGGCUGAAUGAUUCACUGUGAGCAAUUCAGUGAAAAUAUCAGUGUUUUGUACAGCCUUCCUUUUUCUUUUUCUCCACGUUCCUCUUUCUCUUCCUCAUCUUCUUUUUAACCUUUUCUACCUCCCACCUUCUGUUGCCGCACAUGCAAGACCUAAGGAGCUAAAUGAACACAUACACAAGAAACAGAUGACAGAGCAGUUUGGCAGAAUGAAACAACCCAUGAGUAUAGAAGAUGGUAAAACAUCAAUAAUCAGUAUUGACAUCAGACAUUAUCAAAGAAAGGGUUUAUGCCCUGCAUUGUUUCAGUUCCUGAGAAUGCCUCUUGCCUUCCACAUUGUAAAAUAUAGCCCAAACAAAAUGCAGCUAAGAAAAAGGGAAAAUUCUUCUCUACAUAGGAUUUAAUACUGCACCCAUCACUGCAGUAUCUGAGAGCAAGAUAUUCUAUUGCGGGCGUGGUGCAAAGUUCAUGGAAUAUCAAGUGUUGGUAAUCUGUGCUCUGAGCCUGUGAAUGUACGUGCAAAUGGAUCAGAUCCACAGCUGGCAUCUGUCUGGCUCCAGAUCUGGUCCAGUAAGUUUCUAAAGAGUAGUUCAAGACAGACCAUUGAAAACUUCCAAAGAAAGUCCCAGAGCACAUGACAGAAAUGGCCAAGUGGGACAGCACAGUAGAAGAAAGAAAUCCUGUGGGUUCAUUUCUUUAAAGCAUAAAAGUCAUUAAUCAUUUCUAUUCCUUUCCAUUCAAAACAGCUGCCUGCCCACAUUUGCUAAGUAACUGCUUUCCUAACCACACAGAAACUAGGCUGCGGGCCCCAGAAUGCUCAUGCUUCCAGAUAUUAAUAAAUAUUUCCCUCUUUCACUGUGUCAAUGAGAGCACAUUAGCAUCCUCAGCAUCUGGUUUUAGUCGUGAAAUAAUAUGUUAAUGUCUCCACACUUGGCGAAUUCCUUCCAAAAAAAAUCCUUCUUAGUGCUUAUCUUUCAGCUGAGGCUUCAGAAGCUCAAAAGCGUGGCUUGAAAACCUCAGUGGCCUUCUACCUGUGAUGCAGGACAGCACUCUUUGUCAAGUUAGAAAUGAUCUCUUUGAUCACACUCAUUUGUUUGUCUCCUCAUAGAGCUGAGUUACGCUUCCCACGUGAGCCCUUUGCUUCAAAAAGUCCACUGUCAUCCCUACAGGCUACUGCAAUUAGUGAAAUGCCAGCCAGCAGGUGGAGACGCAUGAAAGCAAUCUCAAUUCAUAGACAGGCUGCUUUGACAUUUCAUUCCCAUAGCCCUGGCCAAGCACUAGAGCGGGCCAGAGCCAGAGAAUAUAGCUAUUGGUUUCAUGGAAAAGUUCAGAAUUAAAAUCUUGGCUGGCUGACAAACAUGUGACAGAGCAGCUUCUCCAGCAUGACUGCUGCACACAAAGCCGCACUGGCGAGCCGUCCCGGCAGCACCUUUCAUGUACAACGCAGGGAGGGGAGCCCGCUGCUGCCUUCCUCCUGACCUCGCCUCAUUCACUCUGCUCAGCAGUGCCGAGCUGUCAGCAUCAGCUGUGCCGAGCCAUACGAGGGGCCACGCAUGCCAUGCCUUGUGUGCUCACGUUUGGCCUCGUGCCGGGCGAGGGUGGGCUCUGGUGGCUCAGCACCCAGAUGCGUUCCCACCUAUCUGCUGUGGAAGCUCAGCCCGAGAUGGCACAAAACAGCUUCGCUUCCUCUGCUCCGCUCCGAACUCCUCCCACCCAGCGCUUCCUCUUUCAGAGUGGAAACAUCAUUGUAAUAGCUAUUUCUGAAACGUCCCUGCCAAAAAUCAGGAAGCACAGAGGAAUACUUCAGGGCGAGGAGGGGGAAAAGGUAUCUCGCGAGUUAUUUCGGGAGUAGGGAAUUUGUUUACAUUAGUUUGGGAGGAAAGCCGAGGCUAAUCCCGUGUUGUCUUCAGACCAAUCAUUACGUUUCCAGCUCAAGUCUCUCCGUGCUUUAGGAACUAAACUCUCUAUGCUUUUAGAGACGUGGUUUAACGGGCAAUACUGGUGGCAUGUGGGUGGUUGGACUAGAGGAUCUGAGAGGUCUUCUCCAACCUUAAUGAUUGUAUGAACUGUAAGAAGCUGCAGAAGUGGGUCUGCAGAACACCACACGUGAAUGAGUCAUCUCCAGUGGAAGUACGCCUGUGAUGGGAGCUGUGCCUAAAUGCUGUGCUGAAGUAAAGCACGUGCAUGGAGAUGAAGAAAGAAGGAAGGAGACUGUGUAAAAUUAAUAAAGCUUAGAAUCUCAGCAAAAAUCUGCAAGCGCUUUGAAUGAUUUCAGUGUUUGAACACAGCAUACAAACAAACAGCAUUCAUCAUGAAGAUACUGAAAACAGUGACCCCCUCCGCAGGUUCGGACCCCUCAACACUGUAAUAAUCUGUGGUGAGUUAUCAGAGCUCCCUUGAAUGAGAAGGACGCUUCAAACCUUGCAAAAAAAAAAAAAUCAACUUCAGUGCUUCUAAAGAAAUGCAUUUUACAGCUUUUUCCACUCUUUUGGAUUCUUCUCCUCCCCCUUCUACCUCUCUUGCACUCUUCUCCUUGGAGAGCAGAGUUUAACAUGCCAUUGAGGAGAUAGCCCGCAUGCAAAGUCCCUCAAACAUAAACACACUUAAAGAACAGAUUCAUCACAGCAGGCUUCCAAAUGUGGAAACCACAUUCCAUCUGCACCCUUAUCCAAUGGUCAUUAGCUUAGAUCUUGAAUGGACAUUACUUAAAGCAAAGAUUAUAAAAACAUACAUACUGCUCAACAGUGAUUCAUCAGCUUCCAAGCUCUGCAAUUGAGCUCAGAGUGACUCAGGCUGGGGACUUCUGGAAUGUGCUGCAGGAAUUUGCUGCACUGAGUCUGCAAAGCUGCCUUCAGAUGGUUUCUCUGGCAACUCAGGACAUUUCAUUGAACUCAGGUAUUCUGCAUUUGUUGUCCUUGUCAACAUUUGUGAUAAAAAAAAAACCUCUUGUUAAGACCCCAGCCCUGAUUUUUCUGCUCAGGUUUGCAGCACUGUAACAUCAGUGACUCCUGUGCUGCCAGCUCUGCAGAGGGCUCAGCACCCACAUCAGCACACUGCUCAGGAGCUACGGAUGACAAUGGUCUCACAUACACAGCCCGGCGAUAAGGCAAGUUAUCACCACUAUUCCUUGACCUAUUUUUUAGCUUGUAAAUGACUGGGCCUAAACUCUCUGCCACAAACUGAAGACAUUGUUUAAUCUAUUGCAUAGGAUUGCCUUGAAACAGCAUUUAUCUGAGGUGACUCACAGAUAGUUCUGAUGACAGAUGCUUUCUCUGGUUUUCUGCAUGCGUGAACAUAUGUAACUCUGUAUGUAUAUACACACACACACAAACAUGCAGUGAUUCACUUUCACAAAACACCCUGUGGAUUCCUUCUACCCUUUGAGGUCUAUUUUUUUAUUUUUAAGAAUCACUGUUAAUUAAGCUAAAGUUACUGAGACGGGGAAAAAAAGUUAGCAAGGUUACUCUCUAUGGAGCCACCAAAGGCAUUAGGAAUAACAGACAGCUUAUUAUUUAGGGCAACAGCGUAAGGGUGCAAAAGGAGAAUUGAAUUCAAGCACUGAACUCUAUGGACACAUGUAUUGGUAUAUUCUCAGUAGGCUGCUUACUUCUACAUGAUGUUUCGGUUCUGAUGUUGUUGUUUUUAAGCAUAAGGACAAUGCUUGACAGCCUUUUAAGAGGAUAACGAUAAUAAUAAAUCUAUGAAUAAGCACAUUCUGCUGACACAAUAGUGUUGAUGAUUUGCUCAGAACUGACGCAGUUCACAUCCCUUAGCCAGACCUUGCUAUUGGACAUGAUUUUGGUCUCUGCCUUAAUCAAUACUGUAUUGCAGAUGUCUCAAAAGGCUGGUCUCUGUGGCACCUACUUGAACCCUAUGAGGAUCUAAUUCCAGUUACAGCAAUACAAUUGAAGUAAACUAAAGACAUAAUCCCAGAAAAACAAUUGGGUUAAAACACCAAAAUACUUACAGCAUUGUAUUUACACCUAUUAGACGCAUUAAAGAAGCAAUAAGCAUUUGCAGAAGUAUCCCUUUGAAAGGUAUUUUGAAAGCACCUAACUUGGCUACAGGCUCAACAGCGAGCUGUGAAUAUUUGACAUCUACUUCCAUUAAGUACCACUGAGGUGUUUAUUCACUGCAAAGUAAAGUUUGCUAUAAAUUUCAUUCAACCUGAAGUGCAAUUGCGUGUGUUUGCAGAUCCUUCUAUUUCAUCCUUAAGAGUUUCACAGGUCACAAGGAUGCAUCUUGUACCUGUAUACUAAUGACAACAUUUGGUUUAUGUUAUAAGCUUCUCUUCCCACAAGUACUUGGUGGUGUCGUAUAGAAUGCACGUUCCCAUAAUCAUUUCAUAUGUUUUCAGUCUUAAAAAUACAGUUUAUAUAAUGAAAAUACAAUAUAAUUAUACACAUGAGAGUUCUGGUUUGGAAGAGGUUCAGCAGAAUUCUUUGAUAAAACAAGUCCCCCAACCACAAAAGCUACAUACAGUGAUUUGACAGUCAAACAUAUAUAAUCACUUAUGCUAAAUUAAAGGCAGCGUCACCACGUUAGAAGCAGCACAUUUAAAUCCCUUAUGUCAGUUUUGGCCAACAAGUGACAAAUGCUGCAGAUCAGACUAAACGCAUCCUUGAAUAAACUUGGAGCAGCUUUUGAAAUAGGUGCUUAGCAUGAACAGUUAUAGACAGAAAUGAGAGUGCAGGGGAUAUGCUUAUACAAAGUUAUUUUAUGAUGAUACUAAUUGAGCUCCUUUAUACAGCAUCAACAGCUCAGACCCUUUUUUUCCACACCAAUUUCUAGCACUUGGAAAUGGACAGUAUGAGGGUACAAAGAGCAGAAGUUCAUCCAAAAUUAUAACGUUAGAAAGGUUAGUGAAGAUAAACUCCUUAAUGUUUAGGUAGGAUUUUCCAUUUGCUGCCCCUUCCAGUACCUCUCCCCAGAACACACAAACCCAUUUUCUCUCUACCAAAAGCGUCUGCUUAGAGUUCAUGGACAAGAACCUCCGUAGAUACCAAGUUUUGUAUUUCCACUGAGAGUAGCAGGAUGAUGCUGAUUUACACCAGAUAUGGAUCUGGUUCGCAGCAUGUUCCAGUGUGAAUUCACAGAGCAUGGAGUAAUGUGAAACAAGGAAGUGACUUUUGUGAAAAGCAUUUUGGAAAGGAAAACCAAAAAUGAUGGAUGUACCACUGGGGCAGAGGGAGUGGAGCCUGCCUCAAAGAGGACCUUGUAGAGCUGCCAACCUUCCCACAAAAUGUGCUGCUGCUCUCAGAAAGAAGGGGGAGGUUUCCCCGGGACAAAUGCAGCCACACCAAGCACCCUAAUAACUACUCUGUAGAUAUUUUUAUGUACUAUCACAUCAAAACCAGGCUGAACUUCCAAAACAUUUGAAUUCAACCCAUCACUGAUUAAUGGAAGGAGGAGAAGGAGAAUGGGUGGGAAGAAUAGUCAUUGUGAACUGCCAUAACACUGGGCAGUAAGCCAUGCUAUUCAACAAAUGAGACAAUACAUUAAAAAAUAAAACUUUGUUUUCAGGGACCUUCUAUAUAUAUCAAGAGCUUGAUUCACAGACCACUAAAGUUAGUGGGAAUCUUUCCUUUAACCAGCUACUUACUGAUCAAGCAGCUACAAAAGAAGAGUUAAUACAGUUUUGCACUUGCUCAUUAUCUCAAUAUUAGAAAGUUACAAGGUUGAAUACAACAUCAACAGUUAGCAACUGACUGUAACUACUCAGAACACACCAUCAUUUUGCCCACUUGUAUGUACUGCAUUUUACUGUGGAAGCUGUUAGCAUGAACCAACAUAUGGAGAUUAAGAUUUAACAGAGGACAGAAAACAUGAACACUUACAAGAAAUAAUAGUUAACAAUUUACGUUCCAUCUGGCAUUUAAAGCUCUACAAGCAGUAUUAUUUGAAGGAAAAAAAACUGAUUUACUGAUUUUCAAAUACUGCAUACCUUUUUAUAGCUUCUUUCUGUUUCUUUGCCCUCUGGAAGCAAUUAGUUCAAUCAUAUUAUAGUUCUUAGAUCUUCAGCUAUGUGACUGACCAUACUACCAUUUCAGUUAAAUAUGCAGCAGAGCCACUAGCCCUUUGUGAGGAAAAGGAUUGUUCAUUUCAAUAGGAGUUUAGAGUGAGGAUAGUAAAUCAUCUUCUUCCUGAUCCAGAUGUGCUAACAGAGGAGGUGACCUUCCUCCUUUUAUCAUUACUUUGCUGGAGGUCUUGCCCCCACCAGUCUGCUGACAGAAAAGGCAGGCAGUAUCAGGAUUUCCAAGUUACAUGAGACUUAUCUGUGCUAAGUUAAAUUCUUGACCUAAUUCUCAAUCAGGAAAAUUAGUUUCUCCUGAGGUCCAUAAUCACUUUUACUAAAGUCAGCUCAUCAAGAAAGGCUGAAUUGUGAGGAUACCUAGGGAGAGCAUGGUGUUCUCAAAGGGAAGAAGAGUAGCAGCCCACCCAAGACACAUUUUGAGACUCAAGGAAUGCUAAACAAUAUAAGAUCACUCAAAACAUCCAGGCAGUAUGACAUACAAGACCUUUAAAUGAGGUAAACAUAAUUUCUUUAAAGGCUGCCACGUAACAGAUGCUCAGAUUGAAAUAACCUAGCUGGUUUUGACAAAACUGCAUUAGAAAGCCUUUGCCUACAACGCCCUGCUGAUGGGUAGGUUAAAGGAGUAACUUUAGUAACAGAUAGAAGCUUUCUUCAUGUAGGAUGUUUUCUAUCAAUAGCCUUAAUGUUAGCCAUUGAAGUUAAUGAAAACAUUUAUCUCUCUUACUCAUUAAGUACAUUUUGAUGUAACAUUUUUAGCCACGUGAGGCACAGUGCAGUUAAAGGGUUAGGUUCCCAUCAUAAAGGCUUGUAUGUCUCAUUCACCCUGCUCUUCUCUGCCUUCCAAAAGUCUUUUCAAUCACUGCUGCUCUACCUUGAAAGUACUUUGCAGCUGGAACUAUAACUUUACUUUCUGAUAAACAUGUAGCGCAAUGUUUGUUGGUGAAGAG
ensembl:lncRNA